AUUGAACGCUGGCGGCAUGCCUUACACAUGCAAGUCGAACGGCAGCGGGGGAGAAGCUUGCUUUUCCUGCCGGCGAGUGGCGAACGGGUGAGUAAUACAUCGGAACGUGCCCUGUAGUGGGGGAUAACUAGUCGAAAGAUUAGCUAAUACCGCAUACGACCUGAGGGAGAACGGGGGGGAACGCAAGGCCCCAUGCUAUAGGAGCGGCCGAUGUCUGAUUAGCUAGUUGGUGGGGUAAAGGCCUACCAAGGCGACGAUCAGUAGCUGGUCUGAGAGGACGAUCAGCCACACUGGGACUGAGACACGGCCCAGACUCCUACGGGAGGCAGCAGUGGGGAAUUUUGGACAAUGGGCGAAAGCCUGAUCCAGCAAUGCCGCGUGUGUGAAGAAGGCCUUCGGGUUGUAAAGCACUCUUGUCCGGAAAGAAAUGGCUCUGGUUAAUACCUGGGGUCGAUGACGGUACCGGAAGAAUAAGGACCGGCUAACUACGUGCCAGCAGCCGCAGUAA
rnacentral:rRNA from 1 species